UGGGGAAUAUUGGACAAUGGGCGAAAGCCUGAUCCAGCCAUGCCGCGUGUGUGAAGAAGGUCUUCGGAUUGUAAAGCACUUUAAGUUGGGAGGAAGGGCAGUAAGUUAAUACCUUGCUGCUUUGACGUUACCGACAGAAUAAGCACCGGCUAACUCUGUGCCAGCAGCGGCGGUAAUACAGAGGGUGCAAGCGUUAAUCGGAAUUACUGGGCGUAAAGCGCGCGUAGGUGGUUUGUUAAGUUGGAUGUGAAAGCCCCGGGCUCAACCUGGGAACUGCAUCCAAAACUGGCAAGCUAGAGUACGGUAGAGGGUGGUGGAAUUUCCUGUGUAGCGGUGAAAUGCGUAGAUAUAGGAAGGAACACCAGUGGCGAAGGCGACCACCUGGACUGAUACUGACACUGAGGUGCGAAAGCGUGGGGAGCAAACA
rnacentral:rRNA from 1 species